rnacentral:lncRNA from 1 species
GCAGAGGAACAGAGAAUACUGCUCGGAGGAUAAAAACGAGCCAACUGAAGAAGACCUGGUGUUGGCUACACCAGACAAAGGUCUACACAACCGUUUCAAUGGGGCUCGAAAGCUAAUGAAGGGUGUGGAGUGUAUCAAAAACCGCCAUAUGAACAAUACUGAAGUAGCAACCAAAAAACCUAGAAAGGACAACAAAGAGAAAUCCUGGAAGUGAAACAAAAAGAGAAUGAAAGACUGGCCAGAAGGCUUCAAACGCGGAACUGAACCGGCAGAAGACUCUCUGAGAUCAAAACUGGGACUAUGCAAAUGAGUGAAUCUAAAGAAAAGAAAGAAGAAAAGAUGGAAUAAUGGGGAAUAUAGUAUUGGGGACUUGGUGAAAACUCCCCAAAUUUGAUGAAAGAAAGAAACCAUCUAAGAAGCUGAGUUUAAUCCAUGUAGGCAGAACUAUGUCCAAAUGAAAGACGCAUGUUAUAACCAAGCUAUUGGAAGACAAAGAUAAGAUGACUUAAAAUCAGUAAGAGAGAAAUUAAGACAGAUAAGAGGGGCCCACCUCUCCUUUGUGGCACUGGAAUAGGAGUGAAGUACUAUUAAGGCACUAUUGAAUUCUGUUAAAGUUAAUCGUAAGACUUUAUCACAAGCAUUCCUUUGAAUGUUGUAAAGGAUCACACAGAAACACAGAGCCGAUCAAGGAUUGCCCACAGAGGGGAGAGGAGCGCUGUGGGAAGAUGGGGUAAUGGCAGGCCACUGUCAAUGAAUACAAGGUUUCUUCUGGGGAGUUUAAAACCCCAGGAGUUUACAACCUAAAGAGAAAAGCAUGACAAGAGUGACCAGUGAUGGGACGAGAGACCAGUGACCAGUGACGAGAGAGCUGAAGGGGAAGCAGUCCUGGAGUGGAGAGGCUUCGAACACUAUACCGCAGAGGAGGCUGGUUCGCCUGCCCUCAGCAGCCUGGAACCUUGGAUUUGGGACAGCUCAACUUGCAUGCUUCAUGCAGCAGCUGUGCUCUGACCUGAGGGAAGAAACAGGGCCCAAACCGGAGUGGCCCAGCGCAGGAACGCAGCCCCCGGGGUCCAGCCAUCUGAAAAACAGGCUGAAGGACCCUCACAUCAUGAACCACUCCACACAGCCACCCCCUCGGAGGGAAACUCACUCAGGCAUGGCCAUCUCGACAUUGCUAUGCGCUUUACCUCGUGUUAAAAUUCUGAACGUUCACAUUGUUGAAACAACACUGGGAGAGAGAAAGUGUGUUUGUGGGGGUCUAAGUGUUUUACAGCGGCAAAGUUAGCUAAGUUAGAAAACUAAUCAAGAGAUGUUUACAAUAUCAUUUAUGCACGAGUUAGCUUCCGAAU